GUGAGUUUAACCUGGAGUUGGUUGACAGCCCGCUUACAUGCCCAUGUAGCCUGAUGGGUUUGCCCCUGCCACCUCUGGUGCACAGUGUGUACACAGACUGGCACACGUCACUGUGUGGAGUCUGCCAACUUCAGGCUGGCUGGAGCGAGAGCUACAGGAGAGGACAUAGCCCAGAGGAGGAGCCUGCAGGUCCUGUUCCUAUGGCUGGCGAGGGUGUGGGUUGUCCAGAGAUGCCCCAGCUGCCAGCAGCACCUGUGGUUGGUACCAAGGCGCUGAGGGUAAGGGUCCAGGCCAGACACCUGGGGACCCCAGGACGUUGCCCCAGUGUCACAGAGCAGGCCUCCUCCCCCGUCUCCCUCCCCUCUUUCCUCCUCUGUAGCCUGAGGUCAUCAGCCCAACCCAACCAACACCAUCUUCCCCUGAGCACCGCCCCAUCUGGUACCAUCAGUCUCAGACCGCAAGCCCCAGACCCACAGUCUGCACAGUAGUCAGUGGAGCUUUGGAAACAAUCUGAUUAUGUUCUCCCAGUGGUGGUCUCAUUGUCUUGGGGGACAAAGUCCAGUCUCCCAGUCUCUGUCUAGGGGUCCUCUAUGCCCCUGCCCUCCCUGGCCAGGCAUCGAUGGGCUGGCAGCCCAGAGAACUACGGUGCUUCUCCAAGAUGGGGUAGAUCCAAGCACCCCGCCCUUCACGGCUCCCCUGGGUCCCGUCUAAGAACGCUCCCACCUCCCCCUCCCACAGUGUCCGGAACGGAGGGGACCUCAGGUGCUGCCCCCUGCCCUGUGGCCUCUCGCAGUCUCUGCCUCCAGGCACGAGAGCUGCUGACACAGUUGACACAGAAGGGAUUGCCACCAAUGGAGCCAGUUCCUAAAGCUUUGUGGUUAAUUAUUUUGUCUCAGUGAAAUGAAAGGAGGGUAAACAAACAACAACACAUUAAUUAGUCUGAUCUACACUUUCCCCACCAAAGAGAAGAGCGAAGUUAAACACUGGAGGCUGGCAGCUUCUCAGGGAGCCGGAGAGUCCUCGGCAGGCUGGAGGGCAGGAUGGUGGGGCACGGGUAUCCAGCCUGUGCCCCUGGCCCAACCCAGCCAGAGUUCUUUCUCUCAGGGAGAAUACCCGUCCCUCCUCCCUGCCCAAGUCUCUGCUUCUUUGUCCUGGGGUUGGCACCUCUGCCAAGCAAAGUCUACUGUGGCCAUUUCUGAUGGAGUUGAUGGGUCCUUUAAAGGCCCUGUGUGCUGAGCUGUGGCCAUCCAAGCCCACGGGCAGGGUUGCUUUUUUGAGGUUUCUGUUUUAAAGCCAACAGUCACUCCCAGGCUUAUCCCUAUUGUGAAUCCUGGUGUGUGGCUUCCAAGGUAGCUUGGGAUGACCUCUUCCCUAAAAUUAGUGUUUCCAGAACUCACCUGGUGUCCCAGACACCCUCAGGUCCUCAGAGUCACUUCUGAGCUCUGGGCUCAGGAAGGGGUCUACACAGCGCCCAAGUGAGG
ensembl:lncRNA